rnacentral:rRNA from 1 species
UACAGAGGGGGCAAGCGUUGUUCGGAAUUACUGGGCGUAAAGGGCGCGUAGGCGGCCUUCUAAGUCGAACGUGAAAUCCCCGGGCUCAACCCGGGAACUGCGUCCGAUACUGGAAGGCUUGAAUCCGGGAGAGGGAUGCGGAAUUCCAGGUGUAGCGGUGAAAUGCGUAGAUAUCUGGAGGAACACCGGUGGCGAAGGCGGCAUCUUGGACCGGCAUUGACGCUGAGGCGCGAAAGCCAGGGGAGCAAACGGG